UCGAGAGAUAUGAUGUCUCCGACAAGUUCUACAGUUGUAAGAUGGAGGAAAACAGUUCUGUCAGUGAGCACAUCCUGAAGAUGUCUGGGUUGCACAACCGUAUGACCCAGCUGAACAUUAACCUCCCAGAUGAGGCGGUCAUUGACAGAAUCCUCCAGUCGCUCCCACCAAGCUACAAGAGCUUUGUGAUGAACUACAACAUGCAAGGAAUGGAAAAGACCAUUCCUGAAUUGUUCUCGAUGCUGAAGUCAGCAGAGGCUGAAAUCAAGAAAGAACAUCAAGUGUUGAUGGUCAAUAAGACCACUAAGUUCAAGAAGGGCAAGGGUAAGAAGAACUUCAAGAAGGACGGCAAAGAUGUUGCCGCGCCUGGUAAGCCAGUUACCGGGAAGAAGUCAAAGAAAGGACCCAAGCCUGAGACUGAGUGCUUUUAUUGCAAGGGGAAGGGUCACUGGAAGCGGAACUGCCCCAAAUACUUA
rnacentral:rRNA from 1 species